rnacentral:rRNA from 1 species
GACGAACCACCCAAACGUUAUUCGGAAUCACUGGGCUUAAAGCGUGCGUAGGCGGCCUGCAAAGUUGGGUGUGAAAUCCCUCGGCUUAACCGAGGAAUUGCGCCCAAAACUAGUGGGCUGGAGGGAGAUAGAGGUAAGCGGAACUAAUGGUGGAGCGGUGAAAUGCGUUGAUAUCAUUAGGAACACCGGUGGCGAAAGCGGCUUACUGGGUCUCUUCUGACGCUGAGGCACGAAAGCUAGGGGAGCGAACGGGAUUAGAAACCCCCGUAGUCC